rnacentral:rRNA from 1 species
UGGGGAAUUUUGGACAAUGGGCGAAAGCCUGAUCCAGCCAUGCCGCGUGAGUGAAGAAGGCCUUCGGGUUGUAAAGCUCUUUUAGUCGGAAAGAAAGAGUUGCAAUGAAUAAUUGUGAUUUAUGACGGUACCGACAGAAAAAGCACCGGCUAACUACGUGCCAGCAGCCGCGGUAAAACGUAGGAGGCGAGCGUUAUCCGGAUUUACUGGGCGUAAAGCGCGUGCAGGCGGAUUGGAGAGUUGGAUGUGAAAGCUCCCGGCUUAACUGGGAGAGGUCGUUCAAUACUUCCAGUCUUGAGUGCAGUAGAGGGAAGUGGAAUUCCGGGUGUAGUGGUGAAAUGCGUAGAUAUCCGGAGGAACACCAGUGUCGAAAGCGGCUUCCUGGACUGUAACUGACGCUCAGACGCGAAAGCUAGGGUAGCAAACG